rnacentral:rRNA from 1 species
GAUGAACGCUAGCUACAGGCUUAACACAUGCAAGUCGAGGGGAAACGACAUCGAAAGCUUGCUUUUGAUGGGCGUCGACCGGCGCACGGGUGAGUAACGCGUAUCCAACCUGCCCAUCACUUGGGAAUAACCUUGCGAAAGUAAGACUAAUACCCAAUGACAUCCCACGAAGACAUCUGAAUGGGAUUAAAGAUUUAUCGGUGAUGGAUGGGGAUGCGUCUGAUUAGCUUGUUGGCGGGGUAACGGCCCACCAAGGCAACGAUCAGUAGGGGUUCUGAGAGGAAGGCCCCCAACAUUGGAACUGAGACACGGUCCAAACUCCUACGGGAGGAAGAAGUGAGGAAUAUUGGUAAAUGGGCGAGAGCCUGAACCAGCCAAGUAGCGUGCAGGAUGACGGCCCUAGGGGUUGUAAACUGCUUUUAUAAGGGAAUAAAGUGGGUCUCGUGAGACUUUUUGCAUGUACCUAAUGAAUAAGGACCGGCUAAUUCCGUG